GGAAGUAAAAGUCGUAACAAGGUCUCCGUUGGUGAACCAGCGGAGGGAUCAUUACCGAGUUAUUACUCCAAACCCUUUGUGAACCUUACCAUUUUGUUGCUCGGCGUACCGCGGGCCGCGGCUUCGGCCCGUCCCGCAGCGCGCCAGAGGACCCAACUCUUCAAUUUAUAGCGUACCUUCUGAUUUACAAAACAAACAAGUUAAAACUUUCAACAACGGAUCUCUUGGUUCUGGCAUCGAUGAAGAACGCAGCGAAAUGCGAUAAGUAAUGUGAAUUGCAGAAUUCAGUGAAUCAUCGAAUCUUUGAACGCACAUUGCGCCCGCCAGUAUUCUGGCGGGCAUGCCUGUUCGAGCGUCAUUUCAACCAUCAAGCCCUGCUUGUGUUGGGGUCCUGCGGCUGCCCGCAGGCCCUGAAAACCAGUGGCGGGCUCGCUAGUCACACCGAGCGCAGUAGCACAUCUCGCUUUGGUCGUGCGGCGGGUUCUUGCCGUAAAACACCCCCCUUUUAUCAAGGUUGACCUCGGAUCAGGUAGGAAUACCCGCUGAACUUAAGCAUAUCAAUAAGCGGAGGAAAAGAAACCAACAGGGAUUGCCCUAGUAACGGCGAGUGAAGCGGCAACAGCUCAAAUUUGAAAUCUGGCUUCGGCCCGAGUUGUAAUUUGUAGAGGGAGCUUUUGGCGAGGCACCUACUGAGUCCCCUGGAACGGGGCGCCAUAGAGGGUGAGAGCCCCGUAUAGUAGGACGCCGAGCCUUUGUAAAGCCCCUUCGACGAGUC
rnacentral:sRNA from 1 species